AUAUGUAUUUUUGUAUGAUUAUUAAUAAAAUAAAGCUCUAUGCAAAUUUCAAAAGUAGUAAAAUUUGCACAUAUUCCAGAACAGUGUGGUAAGAUUCCACAAGACAAAUGCUUAAACACAACAUGUCUUUGAGAAUGUGACAUUAAUAUUUAUAGUUUAUUGUUACCUGGCUUCAACUCUGUGUGCUUUCAGUGGUGAGCACUCUGUAUGAAUUUCUUGGUUAUAGAGAAUCUUUCUGAGAUGGCUUCCUCAGAUGCUGGCCGUAGGUAACAAUCAACAUAAUGACUGGAAUAGAACAUUAUAUUUCAAUAUCAACAUUGAAUUUAAGGGAUUCAAAGAUUCAAGGAUUCAUAGGUUGCAUAUUUACUAACAUGAAAGCUUAUUGUUCAACAGGUAAUAUUGGCUGAGACCCUAAUGAAGACAAUAACCCAUUCUUCAGGCUGUUUUUCUCACAUAUAUGAUAUCUGGAGAGACACAGCUUCCACUCCAGGGGCAUCAUUAAAAACUAGAUCCUCAAGGCACAUUCAGGUAAUCCUAAGUUCCUCUUGGUUCAAUUCUCCUUUCUGCCACCAUGUGAAGAAGAACGUGUUUGCUUCCUCUUCCGCCAUGAUUGAACCUCCAUUUGGGACUUCCACCAAAUAUGGCUGAAUAGGAACAGCUCUGGUCUUCAGUUCUCAGCCAGAAUGAGCCAGAAGGUGAGUGAUUUCUGCAUAUCAAACUGAGGUACCAGGUUCAUCUCAUUGGGACUGGUUAGACAGUGGGUGCAGACCAAGGAGGGCAAAUGAAACUGUGCUCCUGGUGCUUCACCCCAGAAGCACAAGGAGCCAGAGAACUCUCUCCUAGCCAAAGGAAGCCAUUAGGGACUUUUCCAGACACUCUGGCUCAAAUACUGUG
rnacentral:lncRNA from 1 species